GUGCCCUUUUAAGGUUGUCAUGGCUCUUUAAGAGGCUAACACAAAAGGGUAAAGGAAGUCUUCAUAAAACCCAGAGAGGAAAACUGCACCUCCUCUUUGGUUCCUGUCUGGAGUUACAGAU
rnacentral:snoRNA from 14 species